rnacentral:rRNA from 1 species
AUACGUAGGUGACAAGCGUUAUCCGGAUUUACUGGGCGUAACGGGCGUGUAGGCGGUCUUGCAAGUCAGAAGUGAAAUUCCUGAGCUCAACUCGGGCGCUGCUUCUGAAACUGCAGGACUUGAGUGCUGGAGGGGAUAGCGGAAUUACUAGUGGAGCGGUAAAAUGCGCAGAUAUUAGGAAGAACACCGGUGGCGAAGGCGGCUAUCUGGACAUUAACUGACGCUGAGGCGCGAAAGCGUGGGGAGCAUACAGGAUUAGAUACCCUGGUAUUCCACGCCGUAAACGAUGAAUACUAGGUGUAGGGGGUAUCGACUCCCUCUGUGCCGCAGUUAACACAAUAAGUAUUCCGCCUGGGGAGUACGGCCGCAAGGUUGAAACUCAAAGGAAUUGACGGGG